AUACGGAGGGUCCAAGCGUUAUCUGGAAUCAUUGGGUUUAAAGGGUCCGUAGGCGGAUAAUUAAGUCAGAGGUGAAAUCCCACAGCUCAACUGUGGAACUGCCUUUGAUACUGGUUAUCUUGAAUUAUAGUGAAGUAGAUAGAAUAUGUAGUGUAGCGGUGAAAUGCAUAGAUAUUACAUAGAAUACCGAUUGCGAAGGCAGUCUACUAACUAUAUAUUGACGCUGAUGGACGAAAGCGUGGGGAGCGAACAGGAUUAGAAACCCUAGUAGUCC
rnacentral:rRNA from 1 species